GCCGAUGGCGGUGGACGCAGCAGGGCCCCGCGGUCUGAGUGCGGGCAGGCGCGCGUGGGCGUGUCUCCCUGGCCCACGCGUGUCCCCGGCAUCAGUGUCUCGGCUCUGGUCCAGGACGAAGACUUCUGAAAGCGAGCCAAGGAGAAUCACAGUUCUUAACGGAGCCCCUGACUGCCCUGUGGAAGGAGGUGAUUUAGAAGAAAGUGAGUUGAUCUGGGGCAAAGUGAAGCAUCAGUAGCGCCUUCCAUCCCUUCACCUCAUCUGGAUCUCUUCACUUCACUCCACGUCUGUCGUCUCCCAUGCAUGAAGCAACAUGGACAAGUGAAGCUGCAACCAGUAAAGUCACAGGAUGUUUCUUGGCUUCAAACCAUUUGGAUAAGUGAUGGCAGCAAGCUUCGCCACUGUAAAGUCACCUCUUUGUAAGAAGACAGGAGCUCUUUGUAAAGAAUAUGAGACCUGAGGCUGGGGGAUGGCUGAGAAGGGGAAAGCACCUCUGCUCAAGCGUGAGAAAAGGAGUUUGUUCUUCCACAUCCAUGUAGAAAUCUUGAUGCCGUGCCGUGAACCCCAGCUCUCCUACGGGAAGAUGGGAGGCGGAGGCAGGGGUUCAUCUGGAAGCUUGAGGCCAGCCACCCAGAUCCUCAGAGCUGCAGACAAAAGAGAGGCCCUGCAGCAAAAGAGUGGAAGGUGAGAACCAACUCCGGAAAGUUGCCCUCUGACCUUUACAAGUGUAUACAUCCACAUACAUACAAUAAAAUCAAUUGCUCAAUC
ensembl:lincRNA Crnde colorectal neoplasia differentially expressed (non-protein coding)